AGCUUUGCGCAGUGGCAGUAUUGUAGCCAAUGAGGUUUAUCCAAGGCACGAUUAUUGCUAAUUGAG
rnacentral:snRNA from 1 species